UAAAGUUCGUGUCCGGUGACUUUAACA
rnacentral:piRNA from 1 species